rnacentral:lncRNA from 1 species
AAACGGCUUGGUUUACUACCGAUUUGUUUUCGAUGAUAAAGCUUCCAAAUUGAUGAUCGGCACCGUUAAACAUGAUCUAAACUAUUUAAACUAUCUGGAAAUUAAAUUUCACACAUUUUCAAUAUUGUUCUCUUGUCCAUCAAGUGAACAGAAAAAUGAAUGGCUGGAAAUGAAUAUCCUUCAAAAAGUGAUGAUACAAUUUUUAUAUUUGAGAUCUAGAGUCUAGAUCUUAUUUUAAAUAGUUUAAAGAAUUUUUUAACAAAAAUUUAGUUGAUUUGAACUCUUCUAUACCGUUAAACGAGAAAACGCAUCAUAUCGGCCAUUAAAAUUAUAGAUUUUGUGACCCUUUGAUCGUUCAGUUAGUAAUGCCAAAAAAUUAUGAAAUUUGAUUUCUAAAUAAUUUAAAUGGUCUAGAUCAUGUUCAAUGGUGCCGAUCGUCGAUUUG